rnacentral:rRNA from 1 species
CACACUUGCUGUGAACUCGAAGAGUAGGGCGGGACACGUGGUAUCCUGUCUGAAUAUGGGGGGACCAUCCUCCAAGGCUAAAUACUCCUGACUGACCGAUAGUGAACCAGUACCGUGAGGGAAAGGCGAAAAGAACCCCGGCGAGGGGAGUGAAAAAGAACCUGAAACCGUGUACGUACAAGCAGUGGGAGCCUCUUAUGGGGUGACUGCGUACCUUUUGUAUAAUGGGUCAGCGACUUAUAUUCUGUAGCAAGGUUAACCGUAUAGGGGAGCCGAAGGGAAACCGAGUCUUAACUGGGCGUUAAGUUGCAGGGUAUAGACCCGAAACCCGGUGAUCUAGCCAUGGGCAGGUUGAAGGUUGGGUAACACUAACUGGAGGACCGAACCGACUAAUGUUGAAAAAUUAGCGGAUGACUUGUGGCUGGGGGUGAAAGGCCAAUCAAACCGGGAGAUAGCUGGUUCUCCCCGAAAGCUAUUUAGGUAGCGCCUCGUGAACUCAUCUUCGGGGGUAGAGCACUGUUUCGGCUAGGGGGCCAUCCCGGCUUACCAACCCGAUGCAAACUACGAAUACCGAAGAAUGUUAUCACGGGAGACACACGGCGGGUGCUAACGUCCGUCGUGAAGAGGGAAACAACCCAGACCGCCAGCUAAGGUCCCAAAGUCAUGGUUAAGUGGGAAACGAUGUGGGAAGGCACAGACAGCCAGGAUGUUGGCUUAGAAGCAGCCAUCAUUUAAAGAAAGCGUAAUAGCUCACUGGUCGAGUCGGCCUGCGCGGAAGAUGUAACGGGGCUAAACCAUGCACCGAAGCUGCGGCAGCGAC